GCCGGUGUGGCGGAAUUGGUAGACGCGCCGGAUUCAAAAUCCGGUUCCGCAAGGAGUGUCGGUUCGAGUCCGACCACCGGUACCA
rnacentral:tRNA from 1 species